rnacentral:rRNA from 1 species
AAUAGAUACCUGGUAGUCCACGCCGUAAACGAUGUCGACUUGGAGGUUGUUCCCUUGAGGAGUGGCUUCCGGAGCUAACGCGUUAAGUCGACCGCCUGGGGAGUACGGCCGCAAGGUUAAAACUCAAAUGAAUUGACGGGGGCCCGCACAAGCGGUGGAGCAUGUGGUUUAAUUCGAUGCAACGCGAAGAACCUUACCUACUCUUGACAUCCAGAGAACUUAGCAGAGAUGCUUUGGUGCCUUCGGGAACUCUGAGACAGGUGCUGCAUGGCUGUCGUCAGCUCGUGUUGUGAAAUGUUGGGUUAAGUCCCGCAACGAGCGCAACCCUUAUCCUUUGUUGCCAGCGGUUUCGGCCGGGAACUCAAAGGAGACUGCCAGUGAUAAACUGGAGGAAGGUGGGGAUGACGUCAAGUCAUCAUGGCCCUUACGAGUAGGGCUACACACGUGCUACAAUGGCGUAUACAAAGAGAAGCGACCUCGCGAGAGCAAGCGGACCUCAUAAAGUACGUCGUAGUCCGGAUUGGAGUCUGC